AUGUGUUUGACGAAAUGUUUGAGCGGAUUCUUUUGCUCAUUUUGUAGGCAAACGAUGGAUCCACCAGAUGAUGAUUUUGUGCACAAGGAGCUUGAUGACUACAUAUUCAAAGAGUUCAUUGAUUCGUCUGAUUCAGAUAUCAACGAUGACAAAGAUGUUGAGGUGACAGUGGUGAUGAGCAUCCAGGAAGAGAUGUCGAAAAAAGAGGAGCAUGUUCUCAAUUUGAAGGGUUCACUGAAGGGCAUGAUAGUUGUUGCUCUCUCUCUCUCUCUCCUUUGCAUAAAUGCACACGUAAUAGAUUGA
rnacentral:rRNA from 1 species